GCAGCACGACGAACGUGAAGAUGGUGAUGUGGCUUCUGGGCCCUGCCGUGUUGACGACGCGCACAAGAGGAGACAAAGACAAUGGAAGACGCACCUGGAGCGGGCGGCAGUGCGGGGGUCGUGGAGGGAACGGCAGCCAUCGCCCCGAGUGGCAGGCGACGGGACGAAAGACGUGGACAGGCAGGGAGAGACAGACAGGGAGACAGAGAGACAGACAUCACAAGCGGAGUGGAAACCGAGCGGAGGCCAGAGGAAGCAGCGGAGAGACAGCGGAAGAGACGGCAAGCGGUGCGACGACGUCGCAUAAGUUCAGAGGCCACUGCUGGACGAGAGCCGUUGGGGAGAGAAUGGAAUGGGCGAAAAUGGUGGAUGCCUUUUGCCCAGCAGUGGGAAGUUACAGGCCGACAACAACACAAGCAACAACAACAACGUCAAACGAUGCGGCAGAUAUUGCUGGUUGGCGAUUGCCAAGUGCCCCAGUGCAACGCUUCUGCUAGACUGGAGGCGCUGAUGAGUGGUUUUCUUUAUGCAAGUGUGUAACGUACGUUGAACUUCUUUGGCACCGUACAUAGCCAACCCUGCUAAUCGGAGGUGCGGGGGAAGGACAACAAACUUUGUGUCUCUGUGUCUGUAUACAGGGUACUACGUUUUGAAUGGAAAAAAAGAACGGAUAAUACACUGUAACAUGAUAACAAAUGUAAUGUUAAUAGCUGCAAAAAGUCAAAGAGUCUCCCACUUGUUCGCCAGCGUUGUCAACGCAUGGCCUGGAAUCGUCUCCAGGUGGUCUCCAGAGCCCAGAGGCAGCACAUUUCUUGUGGCAUCGUUGCAAAUUCUCCGAAGUGUUCACAUUUUUUUGAAGCACUCUGUAUUGAACUUCUUUCGCGCCGUACGUAGCCAACCGUGCUAAUCGGAGGUGUGGGGGAAGGACGGCGUGCACCUUGCCGGCGAGGAUUCAGAUUAAACGCUCGUGUACUCACUCGAAACGGACCGAGCCCUGUUCCAGGAAAUCCUUGUCGAACAGCCAGCGAAAGAACACGUUGAGGCUGUGAUUACACACGUCAGAGUGGGCACAUACACACCACAAAGACAUAAGUACGCACGUAAGUAAAACAAACAGCCUCCAUUCGCACACUCAGUGGCGGUAACCGUCACCACUGAACUUGCGUGUGAUCUUGUUCAGCUGCUUUUGUCUCCCCACUGCCGAUGUUUACAAACUGAAUCAGGUACUGUGCUCAAUUAUCGCUGAGUAUAUCAAGGGGAGGCCCAGGACAAGUUCAGAUACCUCUCGCCACUCAACGUUAGCCGUGAUCGGGUAUUGAACUCGUGUUUCCUGGGUUUAAAACGCAGUGCAAUUACCACUAACCCCCACCACGACACCACACUUGCAUGCCUGCCCUGCACGCACACCAUAACAUCUUAGACUAACUGUGUGCGGGUGACGCACGUACACUUUUUAAGAAAACAAUGAUUAUUAUUCUGCUAUGCAUUAAAAACGAGUUGCACGCUUCAUCACGUUCUUUGACAGGAGACCACAGGACCGGUUUGUUGUUGGCCCCGGCUCACAUCGGCAUUGCCCCCUCCCCGCUGCUCUUGCGCGGCUCAGAAGCAGCGGUCGGUAGCUAUCGAGUGUGCGAAGGUGGCACAACUGCACCGGGGGGGGUGGGGCCACAGACUGGGUGGGGCCUGAGGCUCUCGGCUACCGUGACUAGCGGGGCGGGGGGGGGAAUUGAACAGGAGGGGAGGGGGCAAUUUUAAUCCCUCUCUCCAGGGCCCACGCCAAACACUCUGUGCGACUGUCGAGAAGCGCAUCGGGGAGAAAAAAAAAGGCCCCAUAAUUUGACAAAGUGAAACGAACGAAAGUUCCCUUGCUCUGUGGGGACAAAUUGCGGCGGCGAGUGCGGUCGGGGGUGGCGUCAGAGUUCGUUCCAUUAAGUCGCAUGGGUCGUGUUGGGCUCAACUUGCUGUGUGGCUAAAAAUUGCCCGAUGAAUGGACCAUGGCUGAUAAACAGCCCUGUUUGGUUAUGGCUCCAGAAACGUUGUAAUGUGUGUACAGCAAGUCGCACGCCAGAAAAUCAGGGCUGUUGAAGUUACUGAUUGACCACCGUUUUCACCAUCGCUAGGCCUUGAUGACAAAGGUCGUUUGUCCUCGCGCGAUUACGAAGUUACGUUUCACUGCGAGAUGACGCCUGGCGGUUACAAGGUGACGUCCCACGUGAUGACGCCGUCGGAAGAGUAGGGGAGGGACGGCGCGCAUGCCUCCACCGCCAAAGGUGCAGACUUCGACUCAAGCUUGCCAAACUUUCUAUCACGUAAGUCUGCAAACGUUUCGUGCUUUUGGCCAAGAGCCUGGAUGAGGCUCAUCGUGGCCCCCCACCUCGCGCACGAAGCGAACGCACCAACACUGUCAACCUCAGUGCGGCCCACCGACCUGGUGAGCCCGAGCGAGGGCAGGAUGAGAACCAUGAAGAUCAGGUAGAAGUAGCACUUGUGCAUCGUGGUGCGAUUCUCGGUCGAGCUGAAACGCGGACACAGAAAAACGUGCCCGAGGUGAGACGGAGCAGCCGCGCGAGGCUCGGGCGAGCCAAACCAAAAACAGCCCGAACGCGAAAGCCACGGGCCGGGCUCGCGAAGAUUCAGUUCGUGUUUCAGCGGGAAAUUAUUUUGAAGAUAAUUUGAAGGAAUAGUUUCGACUUGUAACUCGCCGCCUCACUGCGGUUCGCUUCUAUAUAUUGAAGGUGUUAUUAGCCAAUUCACGAGCACAAUUUUACAAUCAUACAUUGUCUGACCGAUCGCAGAGGCAAACCAAUAUUUCCCGAAUGUCCACAUGAAGGCUUGCUUAAGUUUGCGUACAGUUGGUUAUGGCGCGUGAGCAAAAUACUGCAUACGUUAAGGAGGUGGAAGGGACACACAUCAGCACGUCAUAUACGUGAUAGAUCGGUCCAGGUAGAGGUUUUCAGCAUUAUAGUUUUAAAUAUUAUUUUCACCCCCGGUUAAUUUUAACUAUAUUUUUUGGUAAAUAACAUGAAUUGUACCUUUACAGUCGUUUUUUUAUAUAUAGAUAUAUAAAGUGCUGUGGCAUGUCUAAUUUUGUAUGGCACGAAUAAAAUGUAUUAUUAUACAGUACAUGCAAAUACAAAAUUGCGAACAAAAUAAAGUGACGCAGGUAAAACA